GGCAGGCUUAACACAUGCAAGUCGAGCGGGGAAAGGUAGCUUGCUACCUGACCUAGCGGCGGACGGGUGAGUAAUGCUUAGGAAUCUGCCUAUUAGUGGGGGACAACAUCUCGAAAGGGAUGCUAAUACCGCAUACGUCCUACGGGAGAAAGCAGGGGACCUUCGGGCCUUGCGCUAAUAGAUGAGCCUAAGUCGGAUUAGCUAGUUGGUGGGGUAAAGGCCUACCAAGGCGACGAUCUGUAGCGGGUCUGAGAGGAUGAUCCGCCACACUGGGACUGAGACACGGCCCAGACUCCUACGGGAGGCAGCAGUGGGGAAUAUUGGACAAUGGGGGGAACCCUGAUCCAGCCAUGCCGCGUGUGUGAAGAAGGCCUUUUGGUUGUAAAGCACUUUAAGCGAGGAGGAGGCUACCGAGAUUAAUACUCUUGGAUAGUGGACGUUACUCGCAGAAUAAGCACCGGCUAACUCUGUGCCAGCAGCCGCGGUAAUACAGAGGGUGCAAGCGUUAAUCGGAUUUACUGGGCGUAAAGCGCGCGUAGGUGGCCAAUUAAGUCAAAUGUGAAAUCCCCGAGCUUAACUUGGGAAUUGCAUUCGAUACUGGUUGGCUAGAGUAUGGGAGAGGAUGGUAGAAUUCCAGGUGUAGCGGUGAAAUGCGUAGAGAUCUGGAGGAAUACCGAUGGCGAAGGCAGCCAUCUGGCCUAAUACUGACACUGAGGUGCGAAAGCAUGGGGAGCAAACAGGAUUAGAUACCCUGGUAGUCCAUGCCGUAAACGAUGUCUACUAGCCGUUGGGGCCUUUGAGGCUUUAGUGGCGCAGCUAACGCGAUAAGUAGACCGCCUGGGGAGUACGGUCGCAAGA
rnacentral:rRNA from 1 species